rnacentral:misc_RNA from 1 species
AAAAAAUCUAUUUGAUGGUUUUUAUCGACUGUACACAUGACACGUGGAUUACCGUAACUAAAAUGAGAACUCUGGAGAGGAUGGCAAGAAUAAAUCAGUUAGUCGUGUUAAGGUAAUAUCCAUGCAUUUAGAUCAAUCGAAAUCACGUGGCCGAGUGGGACCCAGAUACUUGUCCAUUGACUCUUUCUUGCGCUCAGGAUCAAGGCUAUUUCUUAGGCCAAGAAAAGCAUAAUGUGCUGCACUUGCAAAAGCAGAAACUGGAGCUAUAGCAGCAGCAGGAACACCUCGUAUAGCAGUUGCCAAGGCAGAUCCUGCACUGGCUCCACGCUGGUACUUCUUCAAUGGUGCCUGAAC